AACGAACGCUGGCGGCAUGCCUAACACAUGCAAGUCGAACGAGACCUUCGGGUCUAGUGGCGCCCGGGUGCGUAACGCGUGGGAACCUGCCCUUAGGUUCGGAAUAACUCCCCGAAAGGGGUGCUAAUACCGGACAAUGUCUUCGGACCAAAGAUUUAUCGCCUUUGGAUGGGCCCGCGUUGGAUUAGCGAGUUGGUAGGGUAAAAGCCUACCAAGGCGACGAUCCAUAGCUGGUCUGAGAGGAUGAUCAGCCACACUGGGACUGAGACACGGCCCAGACUCCUACGGGAGGCAGCAGUGGGGAAUAUUGGACAGUGGGCGAAAGGCUGAUCCAGCAAUGCCGCGUGAGUGAUGAAGGCCUUAGGGUUGUAAAGCGCUUUUAACCGGGAUGAUAAUGACAGUACCGGGAGAAUAAGCUCCGGCUAACUCCGUG
rnacentral:rRNA from 1 species